rnacentral:rRNA from 1 species
GACGCUGGCGGUGCGCCUUAUGCAUGCAAGUCGAGCGAAGCUUUUCAGUAGUUUACUACAGAAAAUGACUGAGCGGCGAACGGGUGAGUAACGCGUGAGCAACCUACCUUAGUUACUGGGAUAGCCCGAGGAAACUCGGAUUAAUACCGGAUAUUCUUAUUUAAUCACAUGAUUUUUUAAGGAAAGGUCAGCCGAACUAAGAUGGGCUCGCGUUCUAUCAGCUAGUUGGUAGGGUAAUGGCCUACCAAGGCUACGACGGAUAGCUGGUCUGAGAGGACGAUCAGCCACACUGGGACUGAGACACGGCCCAGACUCCUACGGGAGGCUGCAGCAGGGAAUAUUGCGCAAUGAGCGAAAGCUUGACGCAGCGACACCGCGUGUGGGAUGACGGAUCUAGGUUUGUAAACCACUUUCAGGAGGGAAGAAAAUGACGGUACCUCCACAAGAAGCCCCGGCCAACUACGUGCCAGCAGCCGCGGUAAUACGUAGGGGGCGAGCGUUGUCCGGAUUUAUUGGGCGUAAAGAGCUCGUAGGCGGUUCAACAAGUCGGUCGUGAAAGUUCAGGGCUCAACCCUGAAAUGUCGAUCGAUACUGUUGUGACUAGGAUACGGUAGAGGUGAGUGGAAUUCCGAGUGUAGCGGUGAAAUGCGUAGAUAUUCGGAGGAACACCAAUUGCGAAGGCAGCUCACUGGGCCGCUAUCGACGCUGAGGAGCGAAAGCUAGGGGAGCAAACAGGAUUAGAUACCCUGGUAGUCCUAGCUGUAAACGAUGGAUACUAGACGUAGGAAUUGGAUUAACGAUUUCUGUGUCGUAGCUAACGCGUUAAGUAUCCCGCCUGGGGAGUACGGUCGCA